UGCAUAUAUUUUUAAAUAAAAUGUUUAUUUUAACGAGAUGUAAACAGUUUUCUCCUUAACCAGAUAAUAUGCCUGGGUGUGAUGUUCUUUAUACAUGUCACUUCCUGUUCUCCUUUCGGCAGCUGGAGAAGGGGUUACCGCUGUGAUCCCCAUCUUGCAGAUGAAGAAACUGAGGCUGAGAGAGGCUGAGUAAAUUGUCAAGGGUGACAUAACUUAUAAACUAGCAGAGCCCAGUGUCAGACUUUGACUUACCCACCUCCAAAGCCGCUGCCUGUGCACACAAUGAGCACUUUGUGAUACAGACACACAAACUGCACUGACAUCCCUAUUGAAAUACACACAAGCACAUACAGGUGUGCUUCCUUUUCCAGCUUCUGUAUCCAUCAGUCUGGCAACAGUUCCAACUGAAGAAUGCACGGAGUAAACUGGGGAUCAAGGUGGCCUGUUAGACGUACACAGCAUCCCUAAGUAUCUGGAAACUCUUUGAAUGGCAGUGGGAUCUUCUGCUCCUUAAAACUUUGAGAGGACCGGAUGGAAGGAAUCGGAAGCCUCUCUAGAUCAGCGUUCCCUAGAAACCGUCUUGAGUCCACCCGCUUCACGGAGCGUUGUUCUGUGACAGUCUGCCCAUUUUGUCAGCUUUCUUGCUCUCUUCACGCUUCCUAUUGUUAAAACACCUGGAACAAGCCAUAUUCCUAGUGAAUAGCAAGCUUAUUUUUAAAACCAUGAGCUAUGACAAUGCACUCUUGUAAUUUUCAAAUCAUUUUGUAUCUGUGAUUAAAUCCCUUUUCUCCUCUCUAAAACUGCCUCAACUUUCCUCUCUCUU
rnacentral:lncRNA from 1 species